rnacentral:lncRNA from 1 species
AGGCUACAGUACGGCCUCGAAUGUGUGUAAAUACAUGCAUUUUAUAUAACAACUAAAUAUGUGUGUUUGUACAAUUUUAAGUAUAAUGGAGGACAUUUCUAAAACGUAUAAUAUACUAGUAUACAUCAAACCUUCCUCUUAAUUUAGCAACAUUUAAACAUCCUUAUACUUAAUGUAGUAAGUCGAGUACACCCUAUCAAGCU